rnacentral:rRNA from 1 species
UACGGGGGGGGCAAGCGUUGUUCGGAAUUACUGGGCGUAAAGGGCUCGUAGGCGGCCAACUAAGUCGGACGUGAAAUCCCCAGGCUCAACCUGGGAACUGCGUCUGAUACUGGAUGGCUUGAAUCCGGGAGAGGGAUGCGGAAUUCCAGGUGUAGCGGUGAAAUGCGUAGAUAUCUGGAGGAACACCGGUGGCGAAGGCGGCAUCCUGGACCGGCAUUGACGCUGAGGAGCGAAAGCCAGGGGAGCAAACGGG